ensembl:misc_RNA Metazoa_SRP Metazoan signal recognition particle RNA
GCCAGGCAUGGUGGUGCAUGCCUGUAAUCCCAGCUACUUGGGAGGCUGAGGCAGGAGAAUUGUUUGAACUUGGGAGGCGUAGGCUGCAGUGAACUGAGACUGUGCCACUGCACUCCAGCCCGGGAAACAGAGCGAGAUUCCGUCUCAG